UACGUAGGGUGCGAGCGUUGUCCGGAAUUACUGGGCGUAAAGAGCUCGUAGGUGGUUUGUCGCGUUGUCCGUGAAAACUCACAACUCAAUUGUGGGCGUGCGGGCGAUACGGGCAGACUGGAGUACUGCAGGGGAGACUGGAAUUCCUGGUGUAGCGGUGGAAUGCGCAGAUAUCAGGAGGAACACCAAUUGCGAAGGCAGCUCGCUGGGACGUUACUGACGCUGAGGAGCGAAAGCAUGGGGAGCGAACAGG
rnacentral:rRNA from 1 species